UACGUAGGGACCAAGCGUUGUUCGGAUUUACUGGGCGUAAAGGGCGCGUAGGCGGCCUGUUAAGUCGAACGUGAAAUCCCUGGGCUCAACCCAGGAACUGCGUCCGAUACUGGCAGGCUUGAAUUCGGGAGAGGGAUGCGGAAUUCCAGGUGUAGCGGUGAAAUGCGUAGAUAUCUGGAGGAACACCGGUGGCGAAGGCGGCAUCCUGGACCGAUAUUGACGCUGAGGCGCGAAAGCCAGGGGAGCAAACGGG
rnacentral:rRNA from 1 species